rnacentral:rRNA from 1 species
GCCUGAUCCAGCCAUGCCGCGUGUGUGAAGAAGGUCUUCGGAUUGUAAAGCACUUUAAGUUGGGAGGAAGGGCAUUAACCUAAUACGUUAGUGUUUUGACGUUACCGACAGAAUAAGCACCGGCUAACUUCGUGCCAGCAGCCGCGGUAAU